rnacentral:piRNA from 1 species
UGAGCACAUUUAGUUUUCUGGUCAGG